CGAACGCUGGCGGCAUGGCUAAAACAUACAAGUCGAACGCGAAAGGAGGCUUCGGCCUCUGAGUAGAGUGGCGAAAGGGCGAGGAAUACGUUCCUAACGUGCCCCAAGGUCAGGGAUAGCCCAGGGAAACCUGGAUUAAUACCUGAUGACCCUGCAACGUCGUAUGGCGAUGCAGGCAAAAAUUUAUUGCCUUGGGAUCGGGGAACGUGCUAUCAGCUUGUUGGUGAGGUAACGGCUCACCAAGGCGAAGACGGCUAGCGGGUGUGAGAGCACGACCCGCCGCAUCGGGACUGAGACACUGCCCGGACUCCUACGGGAGGCUGCAGUAACGAAUAUUCCGCAAUGCGCGAAAGCGUGACGGAGCAAUGCCGCGUGCAGGAUGAAGCCCCUCGGGGUGUAAACUGCUGUCAGGGUUCAGGAACACAAUGACCAGACCCAAAGGAAGGGCCGGCUAACUUCGUGCCAGCAGCCGCGGUAAUACGAAGGGCCCGAGCGUUGCGCGGAAUUAUUGGGCUUAAAGGGUGCGUAGGCGGACCCGCAAGUGCCUUGUGAAAGCCCUCGGCUCAACCGAGGAAUUGCUUGGUAGACUGCAGGUCUUGAGCUCGGCAGGGGCGGUCGGAACUCUAGGUGGAGCGGUGAAAUGCGUAGAUAUCUAGAGGAACGCCAAAGGUGAAGACAGACCGCUGGGCCGAUGCUGACGCUGAGGCACGAAAGCGUGGGUAGCGAACGGGAUUAGAUACCCCGGUAGUCCACGCCCUAAACGAUGUGCACUAGAUGCCGGAGUUUUGACAACAUCGGCGUCGAAGCAAAAGUGAUUAGUGCACCGCCUGGGGAGUACGGUCGCAAGGCUAAAACUCAAAGGAAUUGACGGGGGCUCACACAAGCGGUGGAGCAUGUGGCUUAAUUCGAGUCAACGCGAAGAACCUUAUCCUGGGUUUGACAUGUACGGAUUAACUCCGAGAAACCGGAGCCACACCUUUAUUGGUGGAACGUACACAGGUGCUGCAUGGCUGUCGUCAGCUCGUGCUGUGAAGUGUCGGGUUAAGUCCCUUAACGAGCGAAACCCCUGUCGUUAGUUGCUACCAGGUAAUGCUGAGGACUCUAGCGAGACUGCCGGUGUCAAACCGGAGGAAGGUGGGGAUGACGUCAAGUCCUCAUGGCCUUUAUGCCCAGGGCUGCGCACGUGCUACAAUGGCAACUACAAAGCGAAGCAAUGUCGCAAGGCGGAGCAAAUCGCACAAAAGUUGCCCCAGUUCGGAUUGUGGUCUGCAACUCGAGCCACAUGAAGUUGGAAUCGCUAGUAAUCGCGUAUCAGCUACGACGCGGUGAAUACGUUCCUGAGCCUUGUACACACCGCCCGUCACGUCAUGGAAGCCGGGAGUACCCGAAGCCGCCUCAACUCAGAGGUGUCGACGGUAAGCUCGGUGACUGGGACGAAGUCGUAACAAGGUAAC
rnacentral:rRNA from 1 species